GACGAACGCUGGCGGCGUGCUUAACACAUGCAAGUCGAACGGAAAGGCCCUGCGUUUGUUGGUUGCUCGAGUGGCGAACGGGUGAGUAACACGUGAGUAACCUGCCCUUGACUUUGGGGUAUCUUCAGGAAACUGGGGCUCUUACCGGAUAGGAUCUCCUGCUGCAUGGUGGUGGUUGGAAAGUUUCGGCGGUUGGGGAUGGACUCGCGGCUUAUCCGCUGGUUUGUGGGGUAGUUGCUUACCAAGGCUUUGACGGGUAGCCGGCCUGAGAGGGUUAACGGCCACAUUGGGACUGAGAGACGGCCCAGACGGCUACGGGACGCAGCAGGGGGGAAUAUUGCACAAUGGGGGGAAGCCUGAUGCAGCAACGCCGCGUGCGGGAUGACGGCCUUCGGGUUGUAAACCGCUUUCGAAUGUGACGAAGCGUGAGUGACGGUAAUGGGUAAAGAAGCACCGGCUAACUACGUG
rnacentral:rRNA from 1 species